CCUACGGGAGGCAGCAGUGAGGAAUAUUGGUCAAUGGACGCAAGUCUGAACCAGCCAUGCCGCGUGCAGGAAGACGGCUCUAUGAGUUGUAAACUGCUUUUGUACGAGGGUAAACGCAGAUACGUGUAUCUGUCUGCAAGUAUCCUACGAAUAAGCAUCGGCUAACUCCGUGCCAGCAGCCGCGGUAAUACGGAGGAUUCAAGCGUUAUCCGGAUUUAUUGGGUUUAAAGGGUGCGUAGGCGGUCGGAUAAGUUAGAGGUGAAAGCCCGAGGCUCAACUACGGAAUUGCCGCUGAUACUGGUAGGCUAGAGAGUAGUUGCGGUAGGCGGAAUGUAUGGUGUAGCGGUGAAAUGCUUAGAGAUCAUACAGAACUCCGAUUGCGAAGGCAGCUUACCAAGCUACUUCUGACGUUGAGGCACGAAAGCGUGGGGAGCAAACAGGAUUAGAUACCCGGGUAGUC
rnacentral:rRNA from 1 species